UACACCAAAGAGAGAGUGACACCAAUGCACAAACAUAACAGCAUAGCAUAAUCACAGAACACUCGCUUUCACCUUUGCCGAACAACUGCAUCAUGGUGCCUGUAACGUGGCACAGACGAGUCAAACACAGUGGAAGUGCAAACUGAAGCAGAAGGACAAACUGAUACAAGGGGUCUGCCUGUACCAAAUUCAGAUGCACUGCAGCUUUUACCACGCCAAUGCCCACCGAAGGUAGAACAAUAUAACGGGCUACUAUGAUGCCAAAAACCAUGAAUUUUGGUGUUCCUGAUGAUCGCAAACCUGCACAAAAAUCAAAGGUAUUAGAUGUUUGGCUUGUACAAGAGAAACUCCAUCCAUAACUAAAUCAUGCAGAUGUUACCUUUAAGAAGGUUGGCUCCAAUUAUCAGAGUGAGAAGUGGGAUGGCUCCAUCCCUGCAAGCCAUCAAGUAUAUUUCAAUGUUGACUCUCCAAUACAUGUCUUCAAAUAUGACAAAAAAUUUAAAUUAAAUGUAUUCAAUGAGAACUGUGUUAAAGAAAUGACCCGAGCAAGAUGAUAGUGUCUUCAAUCACAUGGAAGGGAGCUGAAUCACCGAUCAUCGAUUUUCUAAGUGGAGGUAUAAGUCCAACUAUGAACCCAACAAUCUGUUAAUAGAUUGCAUUAUUCUUACCAGGCUUAAGAACAAUCCACUUUGUAAUGUAUUUUGUUAGAAUGCCAAAAUAUAUUACAGAUGAUACAAAUCAUAAUAAAUCUAAAACAGGAAAAGUUGAACAUUAUUAAGUAAUGCAAGAAGCAGAAUCUUACCGCUCCAUUGGUUGAAGGGGCAAACAACUUCUUUAGAUUGAGCUUCCCUGAGAGCUCCAUCGCGUGCUGCUUUAUUUUAUAUGUAAAUCCCAACUGCCAACAGAUCUAAUUAUGAUUAACUUUCAACUCACUAGUUAGUGCCUAAUAUUUAUCCUCAUUGACCUGCAAGGUUGCAUAACAUCUAACAAGGCUGCUGGCUUUACUUAUUAGUGGUAUCCCUGGACCAUUCGAUCUAUCAAGGUCUUCUCAUUCUCAAUCAUCAACAAGAGAUGGUACGAUAAAAUGAUUACUUAUAAGGCUUCUAGAGGUCUUCUACUUUAAACUUCUAGAACUUAACAAUAGGCAUUUUGGACGUGUAGACAAUUACGUAAGUUAAGGUUUGUGUUUAAGAGACUUGCAUUACAUUAAACUAUCGGUAUAGGAACUUAUAUUUUAAAAAGAACUUAUUAAAUCAGAUAUCUACUUUUAUGCUCGUAUCCAACAAAAUUCACAUGUUAUAACAAGUGUUUCAUAUUAUCAAACUGCUGAACCAAAACAGGCCUGUAAAUUGUUACAGGACUUGUAAUUCUAUUAAUUUUUUAGCCAUAGUUUGGUAAAUUGAAUCCGUUCAUGAAGACACUUAGGAAUCAUGCUCAAUCCUAGAAUUUUUAAGGCCAGUGUAAAGCCAUGAUUGAAUAGGAAUGGGAUGCCUAUGCAAGACUAGUUUUGUCCUUGUAUCAUUUUGUCAAGUACACACUAUAUGUUGAAAUUACUAGCAAGGAGAACGAAAAAGUAAAAAGUUGUGGAUGAGCUUCUCAUAACGCUGAGGUACUAAUCAAGAAAUGUAGAAAAAUGACAUAUUCAAGGACUAACCUCAGGUUCUUCAUCGAAUCUGGUUGAGGGCAAUGCAUCUGCAUGGUCUUCAGAUCUUACAAAUCUUAUUGGAGAAUGUCGAGCUUCAAUGAGACUCCCUUGUUCUGCAAUAUUUGGUUCCAUUGUGCAUUUACCGAUGGAGGAGACACUUAGUUCUUCUGGAAUUGCUUGUAUAGAUAACCUCAAUACAUUAUAAACAUAAACCCAUAGAUAUAUGGCUCCUAUCUGCAAUUCAACAAUAACCAGAUUGUAACAUUAUAUCAAGUACCUGGCAGAACAGAGUCUCAUUUUCCUUCUA